AGUGAGGGGUCGAGAAUCAGAGUGAUGAAGGUACGGCUUCGCCUCCCAAUUAGCCUUAUUUGCUGUCGAUUUUCACUGUGAAUUUAAAAAAAAAAUUUGAAAAGCAUAAAAUUGGAAUGAAAUUUUAACAAAAGUAUAGUAGUACACAUGCAAGUCAUACUUCCACUCCUUGUACCAUCCAAUCCACACCUUGUUUAUGUACUUGAACAUACCCUGGUGUUCCAUGCCAAUGGAGAAGUUGACCUGAAAUAGAGAAGAAAAAAAAGUGUAUUGGUUUAAAAUAAUAAAUUAAAUAAGUAAAAGAAAUAAAAAAAAUUAAAAAUUUAAAAAAAUUCACACUUACUGAGAUCUGUCUCACAAUCUCCUCUCGCACCUGGGGUGAGCAUGGGGCACUUGGUGCAAAUAAUGGCAACCAUGUCAUGAGUCAACAAGGUGUUGACUUUCAAGUUUGCUCGCUGGUGCAGUGGGCUACAAUCGACCACGAUUUUACAAAUAAUAUUUCAUAACAUGACAUUAUUUCAUAAAAUUCAUUUAUUUACUGCAAAUUUCAUUUCUCUCCUACAAAUUUCAUUUAUUUUCUAAAAUAUUUCAU
rnacentral:lncRNA from 1 species